rnacentral:rRNA from 1 species
GACGAACGCUGGCGGCGUGCCUAAUGCAUGCAAGUCGCACGCUUCUCCCUCGGGAGGGGCGUGGCGCACGGCUGAGGAACACGUGGGAACCUACCCGUUCGUGGGGGAUAACGCGCCGAAAGGCGUGCUAAUCCCGCAUACGCUCACGGUAACGUGAGGAAAGCCGCAACGCGCGGACGGAGGGGCCCGCGGCCCAUCAGGUAGUUGGCGGGGUAACGGCCCACCAAGCCGGUGACGGGUAGCUGGUCUGUGAGGAUGACCAGCCAGACUGGGACUGAGACACGGCCCAGACUCCUACGGGAAGCAGCAGCAAGGAAUUUUCGGCAAUGGGCGCAAGCCUGACCGAGCAACGCCGCGUGGAGGAUGACGGCCUUCGGGUUGUAAACUCCUUUUCGGGAGGACGAUGAUGACGGUACUCCCGGAAUCAGGCUCGGCUAACUCUGUGCCAGCAGCCGCGGUAAGACAGAGGAGCCAAGCGUUGUCCGGAUUGACUGGGCGUAAAGCGUACGCAGGCGGCCGGGCACGUGGGGUGUGAAAGCGGGCCGCUUAACGGCCCGAGGCCACCUCAUACGGCCCGGCUCGAGCCCGGGAGAGGUCGGUGGAAUUGCCGGUGUAGUGGUGAAAUGCGUAGAGAUCGGCAGGAACACCAAGGGGGAAACCAGCCGACUGGCCCGGGGCUGACGCUCAGGUACGAAAGCGUGGGGAGCGAACUGGAUUAGAUACCCAGGUAGUCCACGCCGUAAACGAUGGACACUCGGCCUGUGGGCGGACUACGUGCCGCCUGGGGGCCCCAGCUAACGCGAUAAGUGUCCCGCCUGGGAACUACGAGCGCAAGCUUAA